ensembl:rRNA 5S_rRNA 5S ribosomal RNA
GUCUACGGCCAUACCACCCUGAACGCACCCGAUCUCAUCUGAGCUCGGAAGCUAAGCAGGGUCGGGCCUGGUUAAUACUUGGAUGGGAAAGUGCUUGGAAUAAUGUGUGGAAUAAGAUU